rnacentral:rRNA from 1 species
AGGAAAAGAAACUAACAAGGAUUCCCCUAGUAGCGGCGAGCGAAGCGGGAAGAGCUCAAAUUUAUAAUCUGGCACCUUCGGUGUCCGAGUUGUAAUCUCUAGAAGUGUUUUCCGCGUUGGACCGCACACAAGUCUGUUGGAAUACAGCGGCAUAGUGGUGAAACCCCCGUAUAUGGUGCGGACGCCCAGCGCUUUGUGAUACACUUUCAAUGAGUCGAGUUGUUUGGGAAUGCAGCUCAAAUUGGGUGGUAAAUUCCAUCUAAAGCUAAAUAUUGGCGAGAGACCGAUAGCGAACAAGUACCGUGAGGGAAAGAUGAAAAGCACUUUGGAAAGAGAGUUAACAGUACGUGAAAUUGUUGGAAGGGAAACGCUUGAAGUCAGACUUGCUUGCCGGAGCU